rnacentral:rRNA from 1 species
UACGGAGGGGGCUAGCGUUGUUCGGAAUUACUGGGCGUAAAGCGCACGUAGGCGGCCUUUGCAAGUCAGAGGUGAAAGCCCGGGGGCUCAACCCCGGAAUUGCCUUUGAGACUGCAUCGCUAGAAUUGUGGAGAGGUAAGUGGAAUUCCGAGUGUAGAGGUGAAAUUCGUAGAUAUUCGGAAGAACACCAGUGGCGAAGGCGACUUACUGGACACAUAUUGACGCUGAGGUGCGAAAGCGUGGGGAGCAAACAGG